UCAAAAGCAGGAAAUUCGUGAGGCUGUUGAGUUACCUUUGACUCAUCAUGAGUUGUACAAGCAGAUUGGUAUAGACCCUCCCCGUGGUGUCUUGCUUUAUGGUCCACCAGGUACUGGGAAAACUAUGCUUGCAAAGGCUGUUGCUCAUCACACUACGGCCGCUUUCAUAAGGGUGGUUGGCUCAGAAUUCGUUCAGAAGUACUUGGGUGAGGGUCCGCGAAUGGUUCGUGAUGUGUUCCGUCUUGCCAAAGAAAAUGCUCCUGCCAUUAUAUUUAUUGAUGAGGUAGAUGCAAUUGCCACUGCGAGGUUUGAUGCUCAAACUGGAGCU
rnacentral:misc_RNA from 1 species